rnacentral:rRNA from 1 species
AUUGAACGCUGGCGGCAGGCCUAACACAUGCAAGUCGGGCGGAUGAAGGGAGCUUGCUCCUGGAUUCAGCGGCGGACGGGUGAGUAAUGCCUAGGAAUCUGCCUGGUAGUGGGGGAUAACGUCCGGAAACGGGCGCCAAUACCGCAUACGUCCUGAGGGAGAAAGUGGGGGAUCUUCGGACCUCACGCUAUCAGAUGAGCCUAGGUCGGAUUAGCUAGUUGGUGGGGUAAAGGCCUACCAAGGCGACGAUCCGUAACUGGUCUGAGAGGAUGAUCAGUCACACUGGAACUGAGACACGGUCCAGACUCCUACGGGAGGCAGCAGUGGGGAAUAUUGGACAAUGGGCGAAAGCCUGAUCCAGCCAUGCCGCGUGUGUGAAGAAGGUCUUCGGAUUGUAAAGCACUUUAAGUUGGGAGGAAGGGCAGUAAGUUAAUACCUUGCUGUUUUGACGUUACCAACAGAAUAAGCACCGGCUAACUUCGUG